rnacentral:rRNA from 1 species
UACGUAGGGUGCGAGCGUUGUCCGGAAUUAUUGGGCGUAAAGAGCUCGUAGGCGGUCUGUUGCGUCCGCUGUGAAAACUCGGGGCUUAACCCCGAGCCUGCAGUGGAUACGGGCAGACUAGAGGUAGGUAGGGGAGAAUGGAAUUCCCGGUGUAGCGGUGAAAUGCGCAGAUAUCAGGAGGAACACCGGUGGCGAAGGCGGAUCUCUGGGCCUUACCUGACGCUGAGGCGCGAAAGCUAGGGGAGCAAACAGG